UACGAAGGGUGCUAGCGUUGUUCGGAUUUACUGGGCGUAAAGCGUACGUAGGCGGCUUGAUAAGUCAAACGUGAAAUCCCUAGGCUCAACCUAGGAACUGCAUUUGAUACUGUCUAGCUCGAGUUUGGUGGGGGAUAGUGGAAUUCCUAGUGUAGGGGUGAAAUCCGUAGAUAUUAGGAGGAACACCAGUGGCGAAGGCGACUAUCUACGCCAACACUGACGCUAAGGUACGAAAGCGUGGGGAGCAAACAGG
rnacentral:rRNA from 1 species